rnacentral:rRNA from 1 species
AUCGAACGCUGGCGGCAGGCCUAACACAUGCAAGUCGAACGAGUGGCGGACGGGUGAGUAAUGUAUGGGAACCUGCCUGAUGGAGGGGGAUAAAUACUGGAAACGGUGGCUAAUACCGCAUACCAUCAGAUGUGCUCAGAUGGGCUUAGCUUGUUGUGGGGGUAACGGCUCACAAAGGCGACGAUCCCUAGCUGGUCUGAGAGGAUGACCAGCCAAACUGGAACUGAGACACGGUCCAGACUCCUCCGGGAGGCAGCAGUGGGGAAUAUUGCACAAUGGGCGCAAGCCUGAUGCAGCCAUGCCGCGUGUAUGAAGAAGGCCUUCGGGUUGUAAAGUACUGUCAGCGGGGAGGCGUUACCCGCAGAAGAAGCACCGGCUAACUCCGUGCCAGCAGCCGCGGUAAUUC